UGCCCCAUGGCUGAGUUGGUCACAGUGUCCGACUGUUAUAUUCAUGCAUAUAUUAUAUCCCAUUGCUUUAACAUCGGAAGGUCGAGAGUUCAAGCCUCUCUGGGCAG